CUCGACAACGGAUAUCUCGGCUCUCGCAUCGAUGAAGAACGUAGUGAAAUGCGAUACUUGGUGUGAAUUGCAGAAUCCCGUGAACCAUCGAGUUUUUGAACGCAAGUUGCGCCCGAAGCCUUCUGGCCGAGGGCACGUCUGCCUGGGCGUCACG
rnacentral:rRNA from 4 species